rnacentral:rRNA from 1 species
UACGUAGGUGGCUAGCGUUGUCCGGAAUCACUGGGCGUAAAGAGCGCGUAGGCGGCUUGCCAGGUCCGAUGUGAAAACCCGGGGCUUAACUCCGGGCCUGCAUCGGAAACCGGCUUGCUAGAGUCUGGGAGAGGAGAGUGGAAUUCCUGGUGUAGCGGUGAAAUGCGUAGAUAUCAGGAGGAACACCGGUAGCGAAGGCGGCUCUCUGGAACAGUACUGACGCUGAGGCGCGAAAGCUAGGGGAGCGAACAGG